GCCCGCCUAGCUCAAUCGGAUAGAGCGUCAGACUUUUAUAAGCUGCUAAGUAUGUGGGGCGUAACUUGAUCUGAAGGCUGCGAGUUCGACCCUCGCGGUGGGCU